rnacentral:rRNA from 1 species
GACGUAGGGUGCAAGCGUUGUCCGGAUUUAUUGGGCGUAAAGAGCGUGUAGGCGGCCAAGCAGGUCCGUUGUGAAAACUGGAGGCUUAACCUCCAGACGUCGACGGAAACCGCGCGGCUAGAGUCCGGAAGAGGAGAGUGGAAUUCCUGGUGUAGCGGUGAAAUGCGCAGAUAUCAGGAAGAACACCAAUGGCGAAGGCAGCUCUCUGGGACGGUACUGACGCUGAGACGCGAAAGCGUGGGGAGCGAACAGG